UACGUAGGGGGCAAGCGUUGUCCGGAUUUAUUGGGCGUAAAGAGCGUGUAGGCGGCUUUACAGGUCCGUUGUGAAAACUCGAGGCUCAACCUCGAGACGCCGGUGGAAACCGUAAAGCUAGAGUCCGGAAGAGGAGAGUGGAAUUCCUGGUGUAGCGGUGAAAUGCGCAGGAUAUCAGGAGGAACACCCGUGGCGAAAGCGGCUCUCUGGGACGGUACUGACGCUGAGACGCGAAAGCGUGGGGAGCAAACAGG
rnacentral:rRNA from 1 species